UUAGUGAUGUCACUGAUUGACCAAUCACAACAGCUGACCAAUCAGAGCAGACUGUGCUUUUCAGGAAGGCGGGCCAAGAGUUCAGACAAAAUUCU